UAACAAACACCUCCCUUUUCUGUAUCAGAAGGUGUGUGAAAUCUAAGUUGGAACUUAAAUAGGAAGGGGCAAUUAUUAAAAUUUCUAUUUAUUAAUACUUUUUUUUUUUUUUUUUUUCUGUACAGGGCAAUGAAGAAAUUAGUACCAAGCUGGCAAAAGAGGUUGACAGAGUCAAUGACAGACAAGAAAUACAACAAAGCAUCAUCCUCUUAAGGGAGGUCUUCAACACAAAGAACAACUCUCCAAGAACAACAGCACUGUCACUCUCCAGGAAAGAAAGGGAAUGAAGCUGCAUGAAGAAGAUCUUGUGUAGCAUGUUGAGUCAAGACUUGAUAAGAAUCUUCAUUCAAGUCCUGCAUAAAUGUCAGAAUUAAGGUGAACUCUUCAAAAGCUGACAGUGGUCAUGUGCAUGUCUUUACCUGUAUAUGAAAUGAACUGGGGAGAUAAAUAAUUAGCUCACAUCGUUUAAUUUUAAGAAUGAGGGCUGUAUCUUUGUGUACCUUCUUAAUACAUCCACCAAAAUCUCAUCCUGUCUAGCCUCUCACAAGAACAUAGUACUUCUUCCCAAACCUCUCUUACCCAUCAUUCUAACCCUAUAAUUGCACUCUGUGAUCUCAUUGCUGAGUGAGGCUGGGGCCCUUUGGGACAAUCUUGUGUAAUCAUGUAAUUAAAAAUGCAUAAUAAACCACAUAAACAAGAGAACA
rnacentral:lncRNA from 1 species